rnacentral:rRNA from 1 species
UACGUAGGGGGCUAGCGUUAUCCGGAAUUACUGGGCGUAAAGGGCGCGUAGGCGGCCUGUUAAGUCCGAUGUUAAAGACUGGGGCUCAACCCCAGCAUUGCGUUGGAUACUGGCAGGCUUGACGGUUGGAGAGGCGAGUGGAAUUACCAGUGUAGCGGUGGAAUGCGUAGAUACUGGUAGGAACACCCAUUGCGAAGGCAGCUCGCUGGACAACACGUGACACUGAGGCGCGAAAGUGUGGGGAGCAAACCGGAUUAGAUACCCGGGUAGU